rnacentral:rRNA from 1 species
UAGGGAAUAUUGGGCAAUGGUCGGAAGACUGACCCAGCCAUGCCGCGUGCAGGAAGACGGCCCUCUGGGUUGUAAACUGCUUUUAUCUGGGAAGAAAAAGGCCAUGCGUGGCAAAUUGCCGGUACCAGAUGAAUAAGCACCGGCUAACUCCGUGCCAGCAGCCGCGGUAAUACGGAGGGUGCAAGCGUUGUCCGGAUUUAUUGGGUUUAAAGGGUGCGUAGGCGGCUAUUUAAGUCAGCGGUGAAAGACUCCGGCUUAACCGGAGCAGUGCCAUUGAUACUGGAUAGCUUGAGUGUUGGAGGGGUACAUGGAAUUGAUGGUGUAGCGGUGAAAUGCAUAGAUACCAUCAGGAACACCGAUAGCGAAGGCAUUGUACUGGCCAACAACUGACGCUGAGGCACGAAAGUGUGGGGAUCGAACA